rnacentral:tRNA from 1 species
ACCUGGGUGGCUCAGUAGGUUGAGCGACUGACUUCAGUUCAGGUCAUGACCUUACAAUUCGUGAGUUUGAGCCCCACAUCAGGCU